AUCACUUCUCAGCCUUUUGGCUAAGAUCAACUACAGUAUCUAUUCUUAUCAGUUUAAUAUCUGAUACAUCCUCUAUGCAAGGACAAUAUAUUAAAUGGAUUUUUGGAGCAGGGAGAUGGAACAGGGUCUUGCUCUGUCCACUCCAUGCAUCGACCUGGUAUUGCAGUAACUCCAGGAAUGGUGCACUCUUG
ensembl:snRNA U2 U2 spliceosomal RNA